rnacentral:lncRNA from 1 species
AUAAAUUUGUCAGGCAUUUGAAACUCAACAAUGUCGUAAUGAAUCAAAGGUAAACGAGCGGCUCCACCUAACCUUGCCUCAAAAAAGUCCCAACCCAAACGUGUGUCAAAUAUCUGGUAUGGACGCCACACCCAAUCUGUUUCCAACAUGUCAUCAAUCUCUCCUCGGUAAAACACAAGAUGGUGAUGUGGAUUUUUGCGGUGCUGAUAUUGUUUGGAAUUUGGAUCAAAAGAAGAGUAUGCCCAUGAUAGUGCCCUAGGUAUCAACUUAUGGGAAUUAGGCCUAGGGGUAGGACGACCA